UUCUGGUGGCCUAGUGGUUAUAGCGUCGGCCUGGGAUGCGGGAAGUGGCAGGUUCCAACCCCGGCCGAGUCAU